GUCGAACGAGAAAAGGGAGCUAUCCCCCAGUACAGUGGCGAACGGGUGAGUAACACGUAAGUAAUCUGCCUUUAAGUUUGGGAUAACUCAGGGAAACCUGGGCUAAUACCGAAUGUGAACAAGUGACCGCAUGGUUGUUUGUUUAAAGAUGACCUCUCCUUGGAAGUUAUUGCUUGAAGAUGAGCUUGCGUUCCAUUAGCUUGUUGGCGGUGUAACGGACCACCAAGGCUGUGAUGGAUAGCCGGCCUGAGAGGGUGAACGGCCACAGUGGGACUGAGAUACGGCCCACACUCCUACGGGAGGCAGCAGUAGGGAAUUUUGCACAAUGGACGAAAGCCUGAUGCAGCAACGCCGCGUGAGUGAUGAAGGCCUUCGGGUCGUAAAGCUCUGUUGAGUGGGAAGAAAAGCUUUGGUGCUAAUCAGCCGAAGUCUGACGGUACCAUUCGAGAAAGCACCGGCUAACUACGUGCCAGCAGCCGCGGUAAUACGUAGGGUGCAAGCGUUGUUCGGAAUCACUGGGCGUAAAGGGAGCGCAGGUGGAUAUAUAAGUUAGGAGUUUAAACUUUGGGCUUAACCCAAAAUCUGCUCCUAAAACUGUAUAUCUUGAGUAUGGGAGAGGAUGAUGGAAUUCCAGGUGUAGCGGUGGAAUGCGUAGAUAUCUGGAAGAACACCAGUUGCGAAGGCGGUCAUCUGGCCCAAUACUGACACUCAUGCUCGAAAGCUAGGGGAGCAAACAGGAUUAGAUACCCUGGUAGUCCUAGCCAUAAACGAUGAACACUAGAUGCUGGUAGGGUUAUACCUAUCAGUGUCGGAGCUAACGCGUUAAGUGUUCCGCCUGGGGAGUACGCUCGCAAGGGUGAAACUCAAAGGAAUUGACGGGGGCCCGCACAAGCGGUGGAGUAUGUGCUUUAAUUCGAUGCAACGCGAAGAACCUUACCUGGGCUUGACAUGGGGGUGAAAGUUCUCAGAGAUGAGAGCCUUUCCGCAAGGAACACCCUACACAGGUGCUGCAUGGUUGUCGUCAGCUCGUGUCGUGAGAUGUUGGGUUAAGUCCCGCAACGAGCGCAACCCUUAUCAUUAGUUGCCAUCAGGUAAUGCUGGGCACUCUAAUGAGACUGCCUAGAAUAACUAGGAGGAAGGUGGGGAUGACGUCAAAUCAUCAUGGCCCUUACGUCCAGGGCUAGACACGUACUACAAUGGUCGGUACAGAGGGCUGCAAGACUGCGAGGUCAAGCUAAUCCCAAAAAACCGGCCUCAGUUCAGAUUGGAGUCUGCAAUUCGACUCCAUGAAGCUGGAAUCGCUAGUAAUCGGGGAUCAGCAUGCCCCGGUGAAUACGUUCCCGGGCCUUGUACACACCGCCCGUCAAGCCACGAAAGAUGGGAGUACCCGAAGUCGUUACUCUAACCGCAAGGGGGAGGACGCCUAAGGUAAGACCAUUAAUUGGGGCUAAGUCGAAACAAGGUA
rnacentral:rRNA from 1 species